UUUUAUGCAACAACUACAGUUAAAAUUUUCUAGCUAAAAUGGGAACAUAGAAGCAUGCUUAUAAAAGAAGGAGCUAAAUAAGUGGAUAUUUAGCCAUCCUAGUCCCUGACCUUGAAUAGUCUUCCUUGCCAUCUUUAACAAGUGUCAUGAACACUUUUUUUCUUUAGCACAUCCCACAGCAGAAGGUUGAAACAGCAAGAAAAGAAGCUUAAAAAGAAAGGACCUGGC
rnacentral:lncRNA from 1 species